UGCCAGCCGCCGCGGUAAUACAGAGGUCUCAAGCGUUGUUCGGAAUUACUGGGCGUAAAGCGUGCGUAGGCGGCGAGGUAAGUCAGAUGUGAAAUCCCGGGGCUCAACCCCGGAACUGCAUCCGAUACUGCCUUGCUUGAGUAGUGGAGGGGAGUCUGGAAUUCACGGUGUAGCAGUGAAAUGCGUAGAUAUUCGGAGGAACACCAGUGGCGAAGGCGGCUUUCUGGACCGAUACUGACGCUGAGACGCGAAAGCGUGGGGAGCAAACAGGAUUAGAUA
rnacentral:rRNA from 1 species